UAGGGAAUCUUCGGCAAUGGGGGCAACCCUGACCGAGCAACGCCGCGUGAGUGAAGAAGGUUUUCGGAUCGUAAAGCUCUAUUGUAAGAGAAGAACGUGUGUGAGAGUGGAAAGUUCACACAGUGACGGUAACUUACCAGAAAGGGACGGCUAACUACGUGCCAGCAGCCGCGGUAAUACGUAGGUCCCGAGCGUUGUCCGGAUUUAUUGGGCGUAAAGCGAGCGCAGGCGGUUUAAUAAGUCUGAAGUUAAAGGCAGUGGCUUAACCAUUGUUCGCUUUGGAUACUGUUAAACUUGAGUGCAGAAGGGGAGAGUGGAAUUCCAUGUGUAGCGGUGAAAUGCGUAGAUAUAUGGAGGAACACCGGUGGCGAAAGCGGCUCUCUGGUCUGUAACUGACGCUGAGGCUCGAAAGCGUGGGGAGCAAACAGG
rnacentral:rRNA from 1 species